AGGUGACAGCAAAAAAUGAAGGAGUAAUUCAGUCAAUCCACUUGAUGGCUGAUUAAUACUUCUCAUAGGAGGGAGCAGGCAGGGAAGGAAACAUGAGACAGAAUGUGAUGUUCUUUCCGCAGGGUAGCUGAAGUUGGGGGAGAGAAGCUGGACAAGUGAUGUUAAGAAGCAAUCUUGUUGGAAAGAUGAUCAUUCUCUAUGAAGGCAUGAAAUAUGACCAUUGAGCACCCCACAGAUAUCUUCAGAAUAUAAUGAAAGCCAAUUUCUGCCCUUUCCCAUUUAGCUUGGUCCACAAGCAACACAGUUCAGGAGGAUUAGCAAAAUGCCAGCCAGGAGGCAGCAGCUACCUAAGUAAAGGUGAUAUGGGUGAAAACAUGAAGCUUUGCCAUCAGAAUGAUCUCAAAAGGAACCCUAGCAAUAGAUCUGGACUUCUUGAAAACAAGAGCAACCUGGAAGCCUGUCCUUGGUCUUCAGCUGAUUGUGAACACACAACAUUGUGCUGACUCCCCAAAACAGUACCAUGUCCAGAAAAUCUGCUGGUGUGAGCACUUUGGGUGCACAUUCAUCAGCAUUCAGCUGUUCGACAACCGAAAGAUUUUUUUUUUUAUGGUGUUUUGCACUCUCCUGAGCUGAAAGUUUCCCAGAAGAUUUGAAACAAAUUCCAGUCUUGCUUUGUUGGAUUCUUUCUGCAACUUCAAGUGUACUUACUCGAAAAGUGGACCUGUCAAGCACCUUGCUUCAUUCUUUUGUUGAUGGAACUGUAUCAACAUGAUAUCAUCAACUAUGACCUGCCAAGCAUCAUUAUGAAUUAACCUUUACUUAGAGCAAUAAAUGAUGCUGUUAUUGCUUCUGGCAACUGUAGACUCCUAUCAGGUAACAAAGGAAAUGCAUAUUUAUAAAAAAUAAGACUUAUGGGACCACUAACCGUCAUAAGAAUUAUACAAAA